GGAAUUUUCCGCAAUGGGCGAAAGCCUGACGGAGCAACGCCGCGUGAGGGAUGAAGGCCUCUGGGCUGUAAACCUCUUUUAUCAAGGAAGAAGAUCUGACGGUACUUGAUGAAUAAGCCACGGCUAAUUCCGUGCCAGCAGCCGCGGUAAUACGGGAGUGGCAAGCGUUAUCCGGAAUUAUUGGGCGUAAAGCGUCCGCAGGCGGUCUUUUAAGUCUGUUGUUAAAGCGUGGAGCUUAACUCCAUUUCAGCAAUGGAAACUGGGAGACUAGAGUGUGGUAGGGGUAGAGGGAAUUCCCGGUGUAGCGGUGAAAUGCGUAGAUAUCGGGAAGAACACCAGUGGCGAAGGCGCUCUGCUGGGCCAUAACUGACGCUCAUGGACGAAAGCCAGGGGAGCGAAAGGGAUUAGAUACCCCAGUAGUC
rnacentral:rRNA from 1 species